GAGGGAGGGAAGUCGAGGCAGGUCGAGAAAGUUGGCGCUUUUAUCAGAUCGUUUGUUUGGAGUCUCUGUUUGUUCCAACCAUGUGUUCCUUCAUGCUCCUCCAGAGACUACUAUCCGGAUUGUCCGUGCCAGUGUUGUGACUCUUGCAUCUUUCACCGUGUGAUGUUGUCCGGGGCCCGAGGAGUUCUUACAAACAGAUUGAUGGCAACAAUGUACAUGGAUGGUUCAGGGGUGAAGAAGGCCUUUAAAAAACACGGCUAUGUUGUGUUAUAAUAGGUGGCAAUUGCAUCAGAGGGAGAAGACUUCACAGUGCCUCCCUAUACAUGGAUGUCAGCUGACGUCAAUCACUUGUCUUCCGCCAUUUUGAGGACCUGAAGUGGUCGCAAAAGAACUAGAAGCUAUGCCUUCAAUAUGCUGUGAGCAUCAAAAUCGCUAUUUUAACAACACUAAGAAGGCUCAACACAACAUGAUAUUUUGCUCGAAGUAUCGCCUAUGUCUCUACAUGUGAACUCGAGCAUUGAGAACAUUGUUUGUGAACACAGAGUUAACUAAAAAGAAGGUUUUGAACAACUCACUUUGGAUGAUUUGGCGUCCGCUCGCCGCUUUCUUCCCAGUCAAGAUGUAUCGAUCUCCAAUUGCGACGUAAGGAGGGAGGAGAGUAAAGAUGAUAUCUCCUAAAGCAUAGUUCCUUAAAAAUGCACGGAUAAGUCGUUGUUUUGUUGCAAGUGAAAAACAAUAUUGACCUUCUAGUUGAAAAAGGAGCCUUAUAUGAGAUUCAUUCAUUCGCAUUCGGAAAUCGAUUAUUUACGUCUGGCAGAGAUGACGAGCGGACACCAUAACAGCCAAAGUCAGUUGUACAAAACCUUUCUUUUUAGUAAACUCUGUGUACAAAAACAAUGUUCUCAAUGCCCGCGUUCAUGUGUAGAGAUCCAGGUGAUACUUCGAGCAAAGUUUCAUGUUGUGUCGCGCCUUCUUUUGUUGUAAAAUAGUGGUAGUUCGGUAGCAGCGGACAGCGGCUGGAAGAACGCAUCAGGGAUCGAGAAGGCAUAACACCCUAACCAAGAUAUAUUUUUUUAAAGUAGCGUUUAUUUUCAUGACAGUCAAGAUGCGACAUGUUGUCUUUCGUAGCUUUUUACUGUAUCCGUAAGAAUCAUAGACAGUAAAAGAUAAGAAAUCCGUAAGUCGUAGCAAGGUAGCCAAUGCUUGUCAAUAGCCUACUGGUACUCGGUAGGUCCUCAAGAUGGCGGCAUGACGUAAAAGGUCACAUGACUGAAAUCUAUCUAUACUGCAGGGACAACCUUGCAGUCAUAUGCAAAGGAUUUGCUGAAAUUUCUUUCAUCCUGCCCCCAGCUGAAAUCGAAAAUUGAAAAAAUGAAGGCAGGAAACAAGCUGUUGCCUAUAAAAAAACAAAUUUAGGGGUUAAUUAUUUUCAAAUAAUUAAAUUGAUGUUCUUUUGUUAAAUUGUUCAUUCAUCGUUAGUUGUUUUGACAGUUUCUUGUUAUUCUUUUAAAAUUGUUAGUAUUUAAUAUGUUAUAGUUUGGAUAAAUAUUUUUGUUUUAAAUAAACUUGUUUUGG